AAAUUACAGAGUAAAUAAAAUAAUUGUGGACGCUGACAAUUAAAUACUGACUCAACAAAUGAAUUCACAAUAAUAAGCCCCAAACGAAAAAAAAAAUCCACAAUAUUAAUUUUAGCUGAUGGUCUGAAGUAAAAAUUAAAAAUAUGCAUUCACCAAACAUAAAACUGUGCUUUGGCAAUUUAUCAAACAGCAGUGAAAAUAGUGUUUGUGUUUGGCGAACAAACCUUGCCGCAAAAGCGCGUGUACGCAUGCGCGUGAGAGUCGUUUGUUGGAUCAGGUUUAAAUUCCAGCGCAGCAAUGGCAGAGCUCCUCCGAAACAUCAUAUUCAGGCGAUUUUCCUUCAUCAAAGUUAUGGGCCAUUGGAAAACCACACAGCUACAAUGAAGAUGGGAAUCCUUGAAACAGUUAGCAUCAGGAGCAUGAUGAAGUUUAAGAGCCCUGUCAACUGUGCUGAAUGUCUGCUGUCCUGGAAGAGGAGAUGGUGCUCGACAAUAGGAGGCUUUAUCAAUGCAUCGUUUGUGCUUUUGGAUUAUAGUAUCUACUCAACCUGGAAUACAAUGACUAAAUAGGUUUACAUGAAUGGUUGCUUCCACGAAUCCUGCAACUUCCACAUCUUCAGGUGAUUCUGAUGUAAAUCUGCUGUCCAGGAUCAGCUGGUUUGUCUUAGUCGGGCAUCUCCGCUGAGACCAGUCCACUAUGGGUGACCCUACCGGUAUCUGUGAAGUACCAGUGGCGAAGCUCUCAGCAUCACUGAUGCACACAAGCCCUCACAGCACGUCAAGCUGCAAACCACGUGAGGGACCCUAACCUAACCUACCCUAACCUAACAGACACCGCAAACCACUAAACGCAUCGAAACUCUCAGAAGAGUCCAGCGACCGACCAGCAACACGAAAACAACCGCUCAGAAAACCUCGACAACCGUGCAGAAAACCCCCUGAAACAUCCUGAAGACCACCGAGCAAACCAAGAACUUCAAGUCAACAACAUCAAGAAUCAAUAAAAACAACCAAUUGAUGAAACAAAACAUGCAAAAGGAAACUUACUGUGAACUUGCUCUAC